GAGGAACACCAGUGGCGAAGGCGGCUCUCUGGUCUGUAACUGACGCUGAGGCUCGANAGCGUGGGGAGCGAACAGGAUUAGAUACCCUGGUAGUCCACGCCGUAAACGAUGAGUGCUAAGUGUUGGAGGGUUUCCGCCCUUCAGUGCUGCAGCAAACGCAUUAAGCACUCCGCCUGGGGAGUACGACCGCAAGGUUGAAACUCAAAGGAAUUGACGGGGGCCCGCACAAGCGGUGGAGCAUGUGGUUUAAUUCGAAGCAACGCGAAGAACCUUACCAGGUCUUGACAUCCUUUGACCACUCUAGAGAUAGAGCUUCCCCUUCGGGGGCAAAGUGACAGGUGGUGCAUGGUUGUCGUCAGCUCGUGUCGUGAGAUGUUGGGUUAAGUCCCGCAACGAGCGCAACCCUUAUUGUUAGUUGCCAUCAUUUAGUUGGGCACUCUAGCGAGACUGCCGGUGACAAACCGGAGGAAGGUGGGGAUGACGUCAAAUCAUCAUGCCCCUUAUGACCUGGGCUACACACGUGCUACAAUGGGAAGUACAACGAGUUGCGAAGUCGCGAGGCUAAGCUAAUCUCUUAAAGCUUCUCUCAGUUCGGGUUGUAGGCUGCAACUCGCCUACAUGAAGCCGGAAUCGCUAGUAAUCGCGGAUCAGCACGCCGCGGUGAAUACGUUCCCGGGCCUUGCACACAC
rnacentral:rRNA from 1 species